rnacentral:lncRNA from 1 species
AAAAAAGUAAUCUUUGGAUUGAUUUCACUUCACAGUAUCAUGGUGCACCCUUCACACCUUACCACAAUGUCUUCUUCUCCUUAGCUACAUUGUCAUUGUUCCCCACCCAUCGGGCUUUGUCUACACCACCAUCGUGGCCUGUGAGGAUGUCAAAUCAAGCUUCUCCAACAUCGACCAUGCCAUGCGUGGAGUUGUUGCCGCCUCCAUGAAGCAAAACACCUACCACCACCAAAAGCACUGCCAUUCCCCUCCAAUCACCGAAAGCCAUUGAUGUUGUUGGUGGCAAUGACAUUUGGGGAUCACAGAUCUGCCUAGCACCGAUGGAGGAAGUGUCACCAAACCUUUCAUGACGAUAUUGAAAAACAUCGACUCCAACAUUGAUGAAGAUGACGACAACAGAAAUCGACCCUAACUUUGUUAUUCGACAAGUGAAAGUAUGGUGUGUUGAUUUUAGAACAACUAAAAUUUGGUUUAAUAUUGUCAAUUCUAAUUUAACAUUCUGGGUUACUGUAUAAAGUGAUUUACUAGUUACGUUUUCUUGAAAAUUGACAUUCUGAUUAACAUAUGAUGUAAAUUUACUGACGAGUCUGGUUUCCUGUUGUUACAUUCAGAUCCAAUUCAUUGGAAUGGAGAAGGGAUUUUGGGGAAGAAAGGGAAUAGGGGAGUGGAUGAGGGUUGGUGGGUGAUGACAUUGGUGGGUGGUGACUAGCCACCGGUGACGGUUAAGGAGCUAUAGAGACUGUGGUGCAAAGGGUGAAUUGUUGCCGAAAAUCGUCUCUAACAUGGUGAAAGGUGGUUAGGAAUAGGGUAACGGGGGAGAAGAGUGGUGGUGAUAAGGUUUGAAGGGUGCACCAUAAUACUAUGGAAAUGAGAUCAAUCUAAAGACAAUUAUUUUUUUGUGCUCCAUACACAGCUUACAUAACUUGUGCACCAUAGCCUUAGUCAUACAUUUGUAUAGGCGUUUUGACCUUUGAUGAACUAGAUUUCACACAUUUUCAAGCACUAAACAUGAUUGUACAAAUUUGAAACUUUUACAUUGAAUGUAAUUUCAAUGUGUAUUCAAACACAUCUAUA